rnacentral:rRNA from 1 species
UUGGCGGACGGGUGAGAACCACGUUGGAACCUGCCCCGAAGAGGGGGAUAACUACCCGAAAGGGUGGCUAAUACCCCAUAUACUCCGAUUUAUUCGGAGGAAAGCUUUUGCGCUUCGGGAGGGGCCUGCGUAACAUUAGCUUGUUGGUGAGGUAAAAGCUCACCAAGGCUACGAUGUUUAGCUGGUUUGAGAGGAUGAUCAGCCACACUGGGACUGAGAUACGGCCCAGACUCCUACGGGAGGCAGCAGUGAGGAAUAUUCCACAAUGGGGGAAACCCUGAUGGAGCGAUGCCGCGUGCAGGAAGACGCUUUUCGGAGUGUAAACUGCUUUUAAUAGGGAAGAUUAUGACGGUACCUAUAGAAUAAGGACCGGCUAACUACG